rnacentral:lncRNA from 1 species
GCAGAGAAAUUAGGAAUUAUUACUCUAGCUAUGUAACCAUACUUGCCUUAUCAGGUACUGCUCUCCAUUUGCUCAUUGCUGACUGAUCCAAAUCCUGAUGACCCUCUUGUACCGGAGAUUGCCCAUAUGUAUAAGACUGAUCGAGCUAAGUAUGAAGCAACUGCACGCAGCUGGACACAGAAGUAUGCCAUGGGAUGAUAAAUAUUCAGAUACUGUAUAAAUGGGUUGUGUCUAUUUGUAGAAUGUGUUAAAUCCGUUUUAACUUUUGGACUUACUUAUUUGAGGGGGCCGUUUAGGGAAUGAACUUUUCCUCGGUGGAACUGAAACUAUAGUUUGAAGAUUGGCUGGAAAAUAACUGUAUGGUCAGGAUGUUUUGAUGUAGACAAUGUCUGUUGUUUUAAGCUAUUAUUUUCUCUGGUGUUAAAGCUCUUUUUUCACUUGGUGAUUUUGAUCCGAUAGUAAUGUGGCUCUUAUCGUGGGCCUCUGUUUCUCACAUAUGUGCCAUGCCAUAAAGUUUGGACCAUUGUUUUAGCCUCCAAAACACCAUUCGCUUUGAUGAGAGUAUCCAGGCGCUGGUCUCUAUAGCGGACAUCAAUUUUCCUCAGCCGAUGCUGGUACGUAUCUGCUAAUGCUUGAUUUGAGAAAUUUCUUUAAACAAUAUGCACCAUAUCAUAUGUUGGAGUUAAAAUAUAAAUGUAUGUAAUGGAGUUAAAAUAUAAAUGUAUGUAUUAUUUUAGAUGAUAGGUUAAUACUAUUUUUUGCCUACAAAUUUUGGAAUUAUCUAAUUAUUUCAAUAUAAUAUAAUAACACUCAUAAAGCGAUAGUAUAUAAUAAAAAAAAAGCUUGAUGUAUCAAAUCUUUCCAUAAAAAUACGGAUCAAUGGAUCAUUUAAGUAAUUGUUUUUAUUGUGUUAUCUUUUUAAACUUUUUACUAAAAUAAUAUGUAAAAUUUGAAAUUUAAAUUGUAAAUCCUCUUUCAUAGUUAAAUAUUACAAGUUUCAAAAAGAUUUUAUUUCUUAUAUAUAUAUUUUUAAAUUUUUUAUAUGUCCAUUUACAUAAAAAAGUUUUAAAAUUUUUGCUAUUAUAUAAUUUAAGUUAAAAUUUUAAAAAUUGAAAAAAUUAUUUAAAUUUAAAAAUUUUAUUAUAAUUAUAUCUAAAUUUUAAAUUUCAAUUAAAAAAAAAGUGUGUUUUACUCACAUGAAAAUAUGAUAUAAAUUAUUUUAUUAUAUUCAUAUUAUAUAGAUAAAUUUCAUUAUUAUACUCAUAUAUUAUAUAGAUAAAUUCUAUUAGUAUAAAAAAUCUAAAAUUUUUUUAUUAUUUUAUAAUUUAAUUUAAAUUUUAAAAUUUAGUGUAAUUUAAUUGAGAAUUUCUAAAUCUAUUGUUUUUUGUCUCUGUUUGGCCUGAUGCAAUAAAUUAUAACUUUAAUUUUUUAUGUUUACCAUUAAUUUUAACAGAAAUCACAAUAGAUUUUAUAUUUCUUAAUUUCUUAAUUUUUUAAAUAUUUUGCCAAGUGUUGAUCAUAAAAAAAAAAAUCUAUUCAUUAUAAAAAAUCAUGUCAUUGUAAUAAAAAGUGUAAAUUAUAGUCUUAUUGUUUAUAGUGUUAUUAAUAUUUUAUUACUGUUCAAUAAUAUAAAUUAAUAUUUAAAGAUACAAGUAUAUACGUUAUAUUAAUAGCAAAUAUUAUUAAAUCAAAAAAAUUAAAAGAACCAUAAAAGAGUUUAUACGCUUAACAUAUGGGAAAGAAUUAUGAUAAUAAAUUUUUAGAAAUUUAAUAAUAAUAAAAAAAAAUUUAAAAAUUUUAAAUUGAAUUAUAUCAAUUUUAUUUUAAUAGUAUUUAACUGGAUAAUAUAUUAAUAUAAUAAAAUAAUUUACAUCAGUGAACUCUGGUUAAAAUUUUUAAAUUUAAAUAUAAUUAUAAUAAAAUUUAUAAUUUUAUUAAUUUUAUUUUAAAUAAAAAUUAGAAAUUGAGAGUAGAAUAUGAGACUUAUCAUAUUUACUUAAAUGGAUUUACUAUCAAAUUAAAUUUGUGAGUCCAAUUUUAUUAAUUUUUAAAUUUUAAAUUAAAUUAUAAAAUAAAAAAAUAUUAAAAUUUUAUAUAAAUAGCCCAUUUUAUAUAUAAUUAACUUUUUUAUCUAUGUUAAUUUUAAAAAUAUAAAUAUAAAAUUUAGAUUACCCGAUCUGAUUUGAAUUGGACUAAUCGAUUAAAUUAAAUCAACUAAUUGAAUUAGACCAAUUGAUUAAAUUGAAUUAAUAUCUUGAAUUAAACCGAUUGAUCGCAUAAUAUUAUUUACUAAAUCAGUAAAUUAAAUUGAUAUAAUAUUUAAAAUCGGACUGAUAAAUCAUAUUGAUUUAAAAUAUUAAAUUAUAUCAAUCAAUAAGAACAAAACGAUAUUUAAAAUUAGAUCAGCCUAUCAAGAGUGAUUAUAUUGAUUAUUUGAUCGAGUCUAAUUUAUAAUAAAAUGGCUAGAAAUAUUAUAUAUUAUAUGCUGCAUAAGAGACUUAACAUAUAAUUACAUAAUAUAAAAAAUUUAAACUAAAUUAAUUUUAUAAACUAUAUAUUAUAUGUGAGACUUAACUCAUCAUUUAUUUUUGUACCAAAUAUUUUAAAUUAAAUUAACUCUAUAUAUUAUAGAAUGAAAUUACUCGCAUGUACUGAAUGUGAAGCUUAAUAUAUGACUUAUUUUCUAUGUCAUAUAUAAAUUAAAUUAUAUGAUAUGUACUGUAAUAUAUAGAUGAUGUUUAAUCAAUAUUUUUUUACCAAUUAAAAUUUUUGUUCAUAUUUAUUUAUGAAAAUGCUUGAAAUUUACAUUAUUUUGAAAUGUUUGAUGCAUCUUCCUCAAUUCUUUAAGACAGUUAUGUGGAUUUAUAGAGAAAUUGAAAAAAGUAAUAUUGUAAUGCAAGUUUAUUUUAAUUUUAAUUAAAUUUAAUUGUAUGUAGAGAAUAUAAAAUAAUUAUAAUUUUAAUUCAAUUAAAUUAUAUAUGAAGUAAAUAAGAUGAUAUUGUUUUUAAUUUAAUUUAAUCAUAAUAUAUGUAAUAUGAAUUAAUUUUAAUUUAAUUAACCCAGUUUAUGAUUUAUAUAAAGUGAUUUCAAUUUAAUUUAUUUAUUUUAUAAUUAAUAUAAUAUUAAUUAAUUUUAAUUUAAAUUAACUCAUAUAUAGUGAAAAUAUUAUAAAUUGAUUUUAAUUAAUUUGAUUGACUCAUAUGGAUAUAAGAUGAUUUUAAUUUUAAUUUAAUUGAAUUAUUUUAUAAUAAAAUUAUAAUUAAAUUUAUAAUAUAAUAAAUAUAUAAUUUCAUUUAUAUUAUAUUAUAUACACUAAAUAUAUUAUAUAAACAAUUAUUUUUACAUUAUACAGAAAAAUAAUUAUUUUUUAAUUAUUUCUUAUGUUUUAAAAAUGAAAUUUUGACUGUAAAAUUAUAUGGAUAAAAUAACAUUUUAUAUUAAUGAAUCCUUUUGAUCUAUGUUAAAUGUGAAUUUAUUCGGUUACUCAAUUAUGAUUUUAAAUAAAAUAUAAAUUUUUAAUGAAAAUUAAUUAUUUUCCAUUAAAAAAAAUAAUUUUUUUCCUUCAAUUUAAAUAAUUUUGCUGAUUUGUUUUUAUUAGUGUAUAUCUAUAUUGUUAUUUGUAUUCAUAUAAUAACGUCUACAUAAUCGGAAACAGUAGUGGAACAGAUAAGCCCAACAAAUUAAAAUAAGAAAUAAAAAAUUUGGAAAUUGGACAGGACAACUGCUACAUAACCAAUUUCAAUGAAAAAAAGCAAACCCUCUGGCCUCCGCGGCUCAUUUUCUGCAAAAAAGAGGGAAGAAAGGUGCGAGAUCAGUCAGGGAGUGGGAAAUCAGCGGUUCUCGAACUGAAAGUGAGGGGCGUGGCUGUGGAUCUGCUUCAAAGCCGUUUCCCCUUUUUACCUCACUCGUCGCCGUCCGAUAGCAUUUCCCCUUCAAAACCAGAGUUUUUCAUAGUCAGGUGCUCACUUUUUCUCUACUCUCUUUUGUCUUUUGUAUUUGCUUUCUGUUAUUCUCCGUUUGUAGGAUUCUGAGUGUUUGCUCUUAUCUAGUCUCAGAUUUUUUUUUUUUUGCGGGAUUUUAGUUGAUCUGCUUUGCCUUAUACAAAUUAUGUGCUGUGUUUUCAGGUCCCUGGUUGAACCAUCAUGGCUUCCAAGCGUAUUUUGAAGGAACUUAAGGAUUUGCAGAAAGAUCCACCUACUUCUUGCAGUGCAGGUUUGUGUCAGAUGAUUCAUUUCUUAUUGCUGUCGUUAUUGAUUGUUUUAGAUUUCAGUUACCGGUGCUUAUUCUCAACGAUAUUUCAUUACUGAGGGUGUUGCGACGAUUUAGCCCAUGCAUAGUCUAGUUAAAUUUGUAUUGCGUCUAACUUGUUCUACACUUAGCCUGGCUCUGUGACUCGGGUGGUUGUUAUUGGGGAUUGGGAAUUUGCGUGGGAGAUUAUAGCUUCGAGACAUAGUGCUCCCUCUUUGGAAAAGGAAUGUGGGGAAAAAAAAGAAGCUUGAGUUUUGAUUGCUUUCUCUUCAUGCUUUCAUUUUCCUUUGUUAUUAUUUUCCUUUUCUCCUGGCUAAUUGUUUGAUGAUGUAUUGCGACUUUUCAUUUUUUUUUUCUAGUCACUAUUUGUUCUUUAUGGUUGUUUUUAUUGUUCCUUUAUCCGUUAUGUUUGCCAAAUGGCUUUUUUGGGUUUACAAUCAUGAUGGAGUCUUGAAAAGUUCGGAAGUACUAUUCAUUCAAAAUGUACAUAUCUGAUCAAAUAGGAACAUGUGCAGUAAAACAUUAUAUGCUUUUAGCUCAAUUCUUUUUGUUCUUUUGACUUGAUUCUAUCCUGCGAUUGGUUUUUCAGUUCUCCCGCUUCAUCCUAUCUUAUUCUUAUCUCAUAUUUGGUUUAGGAGUUGGAAAAUUAUUCCAACUUUACAAGUGGCUAAUAUAAUUUCAUGGGGUUGCUGGGUGGGACUGGGACCUUGAAUUGUCCUUCCUUGUAUAAUUUGGGUAGGGAUGAGGAUUUUCCACCUAUCCAUCCUCUUUUCAUCCGAUUCAAUAUGUAUAUUACACUGGCUUAUAACUUUAUUUUAGCAUAGUUUUGAGUAAACCAACCUAUGGAUUCAUGAUUAAUUGUAACAGGUCCUGUAGCUGAAGACAUGUUCCACUGGCAGGCAACAAUUAUGGGACCAUCUGAUAGCCCAUAUGCUGGAGGUGUAUUUCUAGUUACUAUCCAUUUUCCACCUGAUUAUCCAUUCAAGCCUCCAAAGGUAACUUUUAUGACUUAGAAAUGUUUCUAUCCAUGUGCCUGAGAGUAGGGUUGGUAGGUUGAUGGAAAUGUGCGCAAAUGUACGAGGCUUUUGUUUUGUGUUUUAUGAAUUUAUUUUGAGGGAUAAUGUUUCUGUUUUCAGGUUGCGUUCAGGACAAAGGUCUUUCACCCAAACAUAAACAGUAAUGGAAGCAUUUGUCUUGAUAUCCUCAAAGAACAGUGGAGCCCUGCUCUUACCAUUUCUAAGGUUUGAUUUAGAUCCAUGACUUUAGGCUGGUAAUUGUACAGCUUUGUAAGCGAGUAUCAAUGGUAAAUCAACAAUGGAAAAGGAAAAGGAGAACUGUCAUCAUAUAAAUUUCGACCUUCUGAGGCCUCUGCCCCACUUCUUAGUGGUGUUUCCCACCUCUUAUCUCUUGUGGCAGCUGUACUCAGAGUGGAGGGAUCAAUCCCUCCUGAACUUGAGAUUCUGGAAUCUUGAGUCUGAGCAUCCUCCUAAGAAUCUCCCAUGCCUUCCUCUAGCACUCUGAUUCCCAAACUGGUAUCCCUUCUCUGAACCUCCAUCUCUACUUCCCUCAUACUAGCUGACAUCCUUCUUGGAGCCAUUCCUUCUCUGCUCACAUCAAAAGACCUUCCAGGGUCCCUUGAUGUUCCCCAUUUGCUGACUCCCCACGACUGCGCUCUUGGCGGAGCUGGGGAAAGGUGCCCAUACCUUUCCUCUCAGAUGGAACUCCAGUUGAUUCCACAGAUCGACGAGUGCCUCGCAUCCUAGCUCCUCUGAAGAACAACACACAAGCAUUCAAACAUUAGCAUCAUACGGUUCAUAUGAAAACACAUGAACCUGCAACACACAUAGCAUACAUAGCAAAGCUAAUAUCAUGGCAAUAGUUUAAUAAUAUGAUGAAACUUAUAUGCCAAAUUUAGUGUGAUUGGUUUUGGGUAUUAGCCUGCAAAGCAUUAGUGUUACCUUAAAGUUUUUUUGUGAAUUAUUUUGCCUUGGAGUUGGUUUUUUUCCCUCCCUGCAAUUAUGAUAUGGUUAAGAGCUCAGACCUCAGGAUAUGAAAAUAUGAUUGCACGAGUUAUAAUCUUUCUCUUCUCUUCUUGAUAUGUGUCAAUUUCUCAAAAAAUUUGAAUGCCAUUGUGCUGAUACUGAAAUGGGAUUCUAGCUUUGAACUUCUGAAAUUUUCUUCUUGAUAAUUUUCACUUCCAUGCAGCUGAGGAAAUUAGGAAUUAUUACUACCAAUGUAACCAUACAUGCCUUGUCAGGUACUGCUCUCCAUUUGCUCAUUGCUGACUGAUCCAAAUCCUGAUGACCCGCUUGUACCGGAGAUUGCCCAUAUGUAUAAGACUGAUCGAGCCAAGUAUGAAGCAACUGCACGCAGCUGGACACAGAAGUAUGCCAUGGGAUGAUAAAUAUUCAGAUACUGUAUAAAUGGGUUGUGUCUAUUUGUGGAACGUGUUGAAUCCGUUUUAACUUUUGGACUUCGUCUGAGAGGGGGGCUGUGUUAGGGAAUGAACUUUUGUUUGGUGGAACUAAAACUAUGGCUUGGAGAUUGGCUGGAAAAUAACUGUAUGGUCAGGAUGUUUUGAUGUAGACAAUGUCUUAAGCUCUUAUUUUCUCUAGUGUUAAAGCGCUUUUUUUUAACUUGGUGAUUUUGUUACAAUGUAAUAUGGCUCUAAUCGUGGGCCUCUGUUUGACGCAUAUGUGCUAUGGCAUAAAGUAUGCACCGCAGUUUAAGCUUCCUAAGCACCAUUCACUUUUAUGAGAGCAAUAGGCGCUGGUCUCUCUACGGAUAUCAAUUCACCCAAGCUAAUGCUGGUUACAUAUCUGCAAGUACUUGAUAGGAGAAGUUUCUUUAAGCAAUAUGCAGCAUGUUUUUAUAUUGGAGUUGCAAUAUAAAUAUAUGUGAUGGACUAUGUUCAAGUGACAUAUUCUUUAUUUUUUUUUUUCAGUUGACGAGCUAGUACGCAGAUAAUUUAACAUUUGAAGUGUCAAUUCAUUCUCCUGCAUUUCACAUGCGACGGUUCAAAGGUCAGUAAGUUGUUGGGUAAUGGGUCACUAACAAUCCAAUAUAUAUAUAUAUAUAUAUAUAUGGAAGUAGCGUAUGAAUUUGAUAUUCAUGUUUGAAAGUAGUAGGGAGUCGAUGCAGCCGUGAUUGCUUCCUUGUCUUCCCAAUUUGCACAAAGAUUCAUUGGUUUGGAGGCUGCAAGAUAUGUUCACUAACCUUAUGGCAGCAAUAUAAGUAGGUAUUCAAAAAUUGAAACACUACUAAUGAGUAAUGAUCCAUCUUUUACAAUUGAUAUGGUUAAAUUUAUGGCAGUGAGAAUAAUUCGACAGCUAGGCCUUCUUGAUGCAUGUCAACUGUCAGACUUCCAAACUUCAUGAAAUUGCUAUUCGAUUAAUUGAAUUAAUUUGAAUUCAACUUUUAAUGGAUUUCAGAAUUAUAAUCAUUCUGAAUUAAAAAUGAGAGAAUAUUAAAUCUCUCAAAAACUAAAAUAUUUGAUGGAUUAUAUGAUAAUCGAAAUUACAAAAAUAUGUUUAUAUUAUUAAUUAUUAAUUAAAAUACACUUGAAUUAUUUUUUAUUAAUAAAAAUAAUUACUAUUCUAUAUUGUUUAUAAAGAAUAAUUAUAAAUGAAAUAUAUAAAUUACAAUUAACAUAUUAAUGAAUGAAAAUUUGAUUUAUUUAGCUAUUCUAUUACUAAAUACAAAAUAGAUGAAUUGAUUAUAAAAAAUUUUAGAAUUAUUAAUUCAAAAUGGAACUAAAUUAAACACAUCUGACUAAAAUAAUCAAAUUUUAUCAAUCAAAUCUCAUUAUAAUCAAAUAAAGCAAACUCACGCAAAGGGCGACAAGCCUAUAUUGCCACGUAAUUUUCAUGUUUUUAGCCCUUAGCUACGUAGGGCCGGCAAUUUUAAUCAAUCACAUCAAUUUGAUUCAAAAAUUAAAAUUAAUUAUUAAAAUAGUUGAGUUUAUUAAAACUCCUAUCAUUUUUUUAAAUAAAUAAUAAAUGCUUAAAUUUAAUUAAAAAAGAAUCGAAACAAAAUUGGAUCCCAGUACCGAUUGUGGCCAAUUUUAGACGCAGCAGUAAACUCCUCAUUGGUGAAAAUUAAUAAAUAUAUCUAUAUUAGUAAAAAAUAAAAUAAAAAAAAAAGCAUAAAACGAGCCACCGACCAAGUCAUGGUCAAUUUGCACAACGGAUGCACAUAGCGCCCAAGAAGUCACCAACGUUAUUCUCCUCUCACUACGGUUGGCACAUGAUUGGGUAGGUGAUUGCCAAAUGACUAAACGCCCAAUCCAUGGUCCGAUAAAUUCAGACAAAAUUGUGGGUAUUUAAGUAAUUAAAUAUAUGAAAAAAAGGCUAAAGGAGCCGUCAAAACACAGGUUGUCAGUAAAGUAAAACGAAAACAGGUAAUUCCGCCUCAAAACUUCUAGAGAGGAAAACGACAUCGUUGGGAACAAUGAAUUGAACUCUCCUCUGCUUUGCUUACAGAAUUACAGCAGGCGGAUAAAAAAGGACAGGCUGCAUGUGAACGCCGGGAAAAAGCUGGUGGCUCUUUCCUUCCUCAGUUCCUUUGCUUUUUCUGGUCCCAAACUAUUAAACUAAAUCUAGGGUGUUUCUUAUUUUCUUUUAAAAUUUCAAUUCGAAUUUGGAUAUAGCUUCUUCUUCUUCUUCUUCCUCCUCCUCUUCCUCUUCUUCAUCUAAGAAGGUAAUGUUCAUUUAUUAGUCUUUCUGUUUACCUUGAUUUCCUUUUGUGAAUCAGUGUUACUUGAUGUUAAUGCAAGUGCUUCAAUUCAGGUCCCUUGUCAUAAUUCUGAAUCUUCUGCUCUUGUAUACUCGUCAAAUCGAGCCAGGAGAACAAGAAAGGGAGGGAAUCAGGUAUGCCUUUGAUUAUAAUUUUCGCGGCUUCAUUUUAUCACCUAUUUAAAUUUAAUUUUUUCUUCAGUCUCUUCAAGUAUAGGGACUUGAACUUAGAUUAUUUCCGUUUUUUUGUCAUGUUGGUGUUGUUUCUUUUUGUGGAUAACUAAGCUUUGCUUAAUCAGUUCCAAACCAAACCAGGGACUCCCACAAGCCCCGGAUUCAGGAAAAUGAUACAAAAGAAAAUUAAUUCUGGCGUUAAAGGGAAUACUAAUUAAAUGCUAAAGAAUAAUAAAAGCUCUGAUUUGCCAAAAAAAAUAAAAUAAAACAGUUACCCAACUCAACGCUGUCUAGAACUUGAAAUUUCUUCUUUUUUUUUUUUUAAAAAAAAAAAUCUAAAUUACGAAAACUUAAAAUUAUAUUAUGUGGGCAUUACAGGAAAAUAAUAGUUAUAUCCUGCAGGCUUUAAGGAGCAAACUUCAUUGAGUACUCUGGUUUUUCACUUUUCUGAAAUGUCAAAGAUUAGCAUAUUAUGCUAACUUUAAAAGAAGGAUUGGGAAGCUUAAGCUUUGUUUUUCAAAGCUUUAACAGCCCAUGCGAACUUUUUAGUGGCAAAUAUUACUUAGAGGCACAGUUUCUUAAGACUAGAUUAGAAAACUUGAAAGUUGAAAAAGGUGAUGUUUGUAUCCACCCAUCUAUCACAGAGCAAGCAUUGAACAGAAGACAAAUUCCCCAUUUCUGUUUGUUGCUGUUAUGUUGUGGGAACUUUAUUGAGAAACGAUGUAAAAGAACGUGGAUUGGCAAGUAAAAGCAAAGUAUCUUGUGCCAAGUAAUCUUUCAAUCUCUAUUUAAAUGCACAAGUACUAGCAGGUGGAAAACACACCAACUUUUGCAGCAGCAUAUAGAGGUUGUCCUGCUCAUGAUGAUUAUCAUAGAUAGUCCAAAUCACGAUUUUAAUAUGACCUAAAUCAUUUUCAGCAGGCCAGCAUGCUCCCUAGAAACAAUAGUCACCACUUUAGAACGUUGGAAACUCCAGAAUUGCAUGCCAUCCUUGCAUGAGACUUUAACUGGGAAGGCCCAUGUGGAUGAAAAAUUGUCAAGCUAUAGAUAAAAAUGCUUGUCACUUGCAAGUCUGUGGAAAUGUGAAGUUUAAUAUUCUCUUAAUUAUCAAAGUUUUUUUUUUUUCUAUAACCCCAUAUUCAUUCACCUGGCUCUGAGAGAAACCAGAAACUGCUGUUAAGAAAUCAAAUAUGCCAUUUUUUUUCUUUUUAUCAUAAAAUUUUGAUGGAUUCACUUUUGCAUUUUCUGACUUUCAGUACCUUUCUACUGCAGCCGCUAGGGAUUAAAAUUUUGGUUAUCUAUACAAGAUAUGGGACAAUGCUUAUGCUUUGCUAAAGUAAGUGUUUUGAGCUGAUGCAUAUUAUAAUCAUGAUAAAACAAGAAAAUGGAUAUUAUUAUUAUUAUUUUAAAUUCUCCAUGUGCAAGUACUGGUCAUUGCUUUCUGCUACUUCUUUUUCCCUGUGCCUGUCCUCCUAUAGCAUUGUUACUUGUUAGUUCUUAUGUGCAAGCAUGCACGUAGUAUGUGUGUUUGUGUUUGCCAGAAAUCCCUGAACAGAUUAGUUAAUUCUUUCUUUUUGUAGGAAGAAAAAAUAUAUGAAUCAGGAAAAAGGCUCUGAUUAUUCUAUUUUUGUAUUCAAAUUUCCUAGUCAAUACUGCUAAAAAAAGUUAAGAUGUGAGUAAUGUUCAUUGUAAUUUUGUGCAUAAUGCUGUGAAAGAUUUCAGUUAUGGUCUCAUGCAAGUUGAAAUCUUAAAAAUUUCUUGCUAAUUCCAAAACAAUUGGCCCUUCGGAUAAUGUGACAUAAAGGACCUGUGUUGAAUCCGAUUACUUGUCAACCCAGACAGACAAUGCUUUGAUGUUGACUUGCACGAUAGAAUUCUAACUCUCCCUUGAUUUAUCUGAUUCUAAGUCUGAUUCCUACUGUGUUCAAUGGAAAAUCCUAUUGUCAAUUGAUUCACUUAGGUUUAACAGUCAAGACUCAUCAGCUAAUAGGAUUUUUUUUGGUUUAUAAGAAAUGGUGAAAAUGUUAGGAAAUGUUGAAGGUGUGCUUUUGUUUUUUUGUUUGAUGCUGCUAACAAUAGUUUUCUUUGAAAGGGCAGCACUAUCCUCUAUAAGGUAUCCUGGCUUACACAUUGAUGAGAGAAACAAAAUAGAGAGAGUCCAUUUGAAAAUUGAAUCAGAAUAGAGAUUUUUGUUACCUUGCAUUUUGUUGGAAAGAUUUGACCUGUGGGAAAUUUGAAUUUGACAUGCACGAUUUUUUUUAUUGAUUAGAUUUAUUCAUCUAUGCUGGUUUCAUCAAUGUGGACAAGGUUCCAUUUGAUUGCCAAUAUGCAAUGCCUAUAAAGUUGUAAUCGAAAUCCCUCCUAAAAUAAGUUCUUGUCAUUCAUGAAUUUAAGUAACUAAACAAUACAGUAAACAUCUUUCAAAUGGUCUGAACUAAAAUCAUGUCAAAAUUCCAAAUCUGGAAUUAUUCCAUCAAAUGUAGUUAAAUAAUUUGUGAAGACUAGAAGUAUUAAAUACAAAUCUUUAAUGAGAUCAAAUAAAUGGGGAUGAGAUUGAACCUUGAAGUUACUCAAUAUAUAGAAAAAAAGGAGAAGAAUUCACUUUCAACAUUUGGAAUUUAAAAUUAAUAUUGAAAGAGCAGUUGUUGGUGAACAUUACAUGGAAUGUGAAAUUUCUAGUAGUUUUUUCAACUUUAAAUGCAAAACUUGGUGAAAGAGAACCGUAGCUCCAAUUGUUUGUGAAAAAUUAAUUGUGAGCAUCAUCUUCUCGGCUUUUAUUCAAAUGGCAGAUUUGUGCUUAGAAAAAAGCAGCAAUAUCUUUUCUAGUUUAGUAUCAUUAUUGUUGUUGGCUCCUUACCUUGAGCAUGGAAAUAUUUGGUUCCAUGGCAUGGCAAAUAUUACCCUUUAUCCCUCAUCCCUCUAAUAUCUUUACACUUCCAUUUGUGUUAUUUGUUUUAAACUAUUAAUUAUGUCUUUCACACGAAAGCAUGCUUGUUGUGCUACUGUGGAUAAAGGUAAUGACAAAAUUACUAUGUUGAUGACAUUUUUAGCGUCAACAGGGUGAAGGACAUGAUUCUGAUGAGCAUUUUGAAUUUGUUGGCAGUAAUGUGCACCUCAUUACUGCCAAAGAGGCCUGGGAUCAGAAGCUAUCAGAAGCUAAUAGGGAGGGCAAAACUGUAAGUUUUAACUUUGACUUCCAUUUGUAGAAGAGGAUGGCCAUAUUAGCACUUUCUUGGGGCACAUUGCACUAUUAUUAUGUUUUGAUGAUACAUACGCUUUUUACAUUUUAUGAAGUGACUCGGAAGGUCUUUGCUCUUAGAAAAUAUGAGAUAGUAACCUUUCAAGAAGUAUACAACUGAAAUAAGAGAACUAGAAUGCCCAUUCUAAACUUCCUCAACUUUUUGUCCCCCAUGAAGUUGCCUACUUGCUUACAGCUAUUAUGUGCAGUGAUUAAUUUUUUAAAUAGAGACUGGUUUAGAAGUUAUUUUAUAAGUGCUGUUCUAUAAUGUAUAUUCAAUCAUUUACUGAAGAUAGGUGUUUCAGGUUUUGGUGAAUUUCAGUGCAACAUGGUGUGGUCCUUGUAGGAUGAUUUCACCAUUCUACCGAGAGCUGUCUGAGAAAUAUCCUUCUCUAAUGUUCCUGUUGGUUGAUGUUGAUGAACUACCAGUAAGUUGUAAAAUUAUUUCAUGUAUCUGGGAAAGAAAUUUUAUUUACAUUGCUGAUAAUUAGACCCUUCAUUUAGCCUUUAGUGGUUUCUGCCUUCUUGCUUGAUGCAUGUUAUGGAUAAUGGAUAGACCAAAUCUAUGAGAUACAUAUUGAGGAAAUCUUUUCAAAAUCAGUCAGUCUUAAUUAUAUUUCAAUUUAGGAUAGACUUUUUUAUUAUUAUCUUUAUUAUUAUUUAGAUUAGGAUAAACUUUCUAAUAAUUAUCUAUCUUUGUUAUUAUUUAGAUGAGAAUAAACUUUCUAGUUAUUAUUAAUUAUGGUAAGACUUUAAUUUGUUAGGAAUUCUUAUACUAUUGUAAAUGUUUCAUUAUGUAUAUGGGGUUAAUUUGUGAGCAAUGAAAUAAGCAGAAAAAUUAUAAACAAUUUGAGAUUUAAGGCUUUCUCAUUACCGUGACAUGAUCCACCCCCUGGAGCUGAAACAAUAUGACACUCUCAUCAUCCAUCUAAACUCUACAUUGGUAGAACUCUCUGAACUGGAGCUAUACUUUCAUGAUAUCAUCUUCUUUAUUGUGCUGUACAAACAACCUGCAGACUCUGACAAAGAUGUUGGAUAAACAGAUUAAAUAUAAAAGAUCUCUAUGAUUUUGCAGCCUAUUUACUGAGCACUGAUUUUUGCUGAACUUAGUAAUGGCAAUGCGUUAGUAAUUUAAGUUUUCCGUGUCUCUUUUAGUCAGUGUUUGGCUUAAAGAUUUAAAAGUGUUACUGUGUGUAACGCAGGACUUCAGCAGUUCAUGGGAUAUCAAGGCUACUCCUACCUUUUUCUUUCUCAGAGAUGGGCAGCAAGUUGACAAGCUUGUGGGGGCGAACAAGCCAGAGUUACAGAAGAAGAUAACUGCCAUUGUAGACUCUGUGAUUGAUUGUGACAAGUGAUUGUUGUGGUGGUUCCUGCGUUUGAGAGUGCAGCAAUUAGCAUGUUUGUCCAUUGUGUGUUUAAUAUUUUGGUUGUUAAUUGUGAGCCUUUUGUGUGUAGAUAUUGCCUGUCAUGUAAAUAUGACUACUUGAAAAUUUUGGAAUCUGGAGACUGAAUGAGCAAAUUGUUUCUUCUAGUAACGUUGUUCUGGAAAUGUGAAUCUUCUUUUCAUUUUUCCAGUCUACCAUAUUUGAUCACUAUUCUCUCUUUUAUUUCUCUGCCCUUUUUUCCCCCCCAAAAUCAGGAGCCAAAACUUCAAACAUAUGCUGUGACGCUGUUCAGUUCUGGUCUUGGAUUGAUUUGAGAUUAAAAUUAUCUCAUAUUUUAUGUAAUUUUUUUUUAUAGAAAAUAAUGGUUAGUUAGAAUUGAUUAAAAUCUAACUGUAUUGAGAUUAAACCGAAAAUGAAAGACUUGAACCUGACUAAUAACAUCAAAAAAAUGUUAUUUUUAAGUUAUUACAAUCACAGUAGAACUGUCACGGCAUAUGUCUUAAUUUAUACAUCAAGUUUAUUAGACAUAAUUUACACAUCAAGUUUAUUAGAGGUAAAAAUGAGAAUUUGGAUCUGGCAAAAAUGAGAAAUUGAAAUUGGAAACUGACUAAUGUUAAACCUAAAUGAUUGUCUAUACUUAUUAAGAAAUGGUCAAGGUUAAACAUCAUUAUAAAGAUAUAAAUAUUCUCACCACAGCUGUUACUCUACCAUCAUCAAUUUAUUAGUGUUCUCAUUAUUGCAGUUACUCUAUCAUCUUAAUCUAGCCCUAAAUAUUAAAUGAAUAUAAUACAAGUUCUACCUAAUAUCAGAACGAAUUUAAUAAUCGUUACAUUAAAUAUUUAUAUCAAAAUUUACAUAAAAAUAAUUAAAGUGUGUAUAUGAAUCUAUAUAUCAAUAUUUAAUAUAAUUUUUAUUGGGUCUAUUAUUAUACGAAUUUGAACUUUUCUUAUCCAUAUUUAAAAAUUUAUUAUAACACCGUUCUAUAAACUAUUAUUGAUUACUCCCAACACCAUCAUCAAAAUUGUGACCAACUUAUCUCCAUUAUAAUUACUAAAUUUUCAUUACUAGUUCAAUAAUUUUUAAAAUGUUUGACAUAAGUUUUAAAUUUUUAGUCUUACUUGUAAAAUUUUAAUGCUAUUAAACCUACUAACUAUAGUGGUAAUUCAUCUUAAAUUUCUAAAAUUUUCAGUUUUUAUCAAAUGCUUGUUGAGUAUGGUUUAAUCCUAUUGAUAAUACAUUAUUAUUUGUUACUUAAAAUAUUGAUAAUAUUUCUAAAAUAUCAAUUUUUGUCAUUAUAAUAAAAAUGAUGUAUUUGGUAUAGAUUUAUGCAUUUUACAUUCUUACGAGCAGGUGGAAGGAAUGUGCACAGAAUCAUUGACUCUAAGAUAUGAAUUUGCACAACUCAUUGAUUUGCAUACCCACAAAACAAAAGCAAUUCCAAUUCAUACAUAGAAUGGAUGAAAGCAAUAGCUUAUGGUGUGAUGUGGAUGAGCACACAAUAUCUAAUAUUCUUGCUGUGUUUAUUAAUUGAGAUUUUUUUUUCUUUUGGUCCAUAUGACCAAAGCGUGUGAACAUACAGCUCCUUCUUUUAAAAAUACUAUAUUGAUGCGAGCAAUGAGAUCUUUAAAAUUAUCAUUUUUAAAAAAGAUAAUUUCAAUUUGUGAACUGUAAAUAUAAAAUAAGAUAAAAUAAAAUAUGAUAAUGGUUCAUGUGGACGGUGGACCAGUCCAGCAGGUUGGCAAGCUGAAUUUAAAAUUAAAAAUUGGUGAUUCCAAACUCAAUACUCAUGGAUACUAUCUGUGUAUAUAUGUAUAUAUAUAUAAUUUUCUAAUUCUUUUUAAUUGUAUAUGUAUAUAAUUUUCUAAUUCCAUAUUCUUUCUAACCACCUAUUUUUGUAUGUGCAUGACAUGAUAUUGUUAAAAUUUUAUUUUAAAAUUUUUAUAAUAAAAUAAAAUUAAUUUUUAAUCCUAUCUUGAGUAUGCAAACACCGACAAAAUUAAUACAUUUUAGUUUGAAAAAGAAGAGAAAGAAAAACGCAAUCAUCUGCUAAACAAUAGGGUGUCCCCAUUACCAAAUCAACAGCACUUAUAUUAAUGAUUAAUAUAAUGUGUUGGUUAACAUUAAAAUUCAAAUGUACAAAACAAAACCCCUCUCUCUCUCUCCUAUUAUUCAACAAAAAGAUGAGGCUGGCAGCUUAUUCAAAGCUGAAAGCCACCACCACUUGCCCACGUUUUGCCAGCUGAUCCACCUCAUUCUAAUUGGGAAAAGAAGAGAAGACUUGCCAAGAACUAAGUAUGAAAUAUGAUAUCAAUACCAAAUAAUGAAAGUAAUUGUAGAUACAAAUUAUAACUUAAGAACAUACCAUACCACUGGAAAAAGGGAAAAAAAAUGAUAAUUGGGUAAAUGAAUUGCCAAAUCGAUUUCUUGGAUGAUUGACAAUGGAUGUAAAAUUGCAGAUUUUGGUAAAGUAGCAAAUGCAGUCCAUACUUUUGAUCUCAACGACCUUUUGGGUUCAUGAUCUGCGAGAACACAGCACUUGGUGUCAACCCAUCAGAGACUUCACUAGCAAGGCUCCGGCCGCCUAUGCUCAUGCUCAUUCCGCUGCUCCUUGAAUCUGUGAUGUUACCAUCAAAGCCAGGGGCAGCAUCAGGAUCUUUCUUCCCUUUGGAAGCAGUGUUAAAUGGCAUCUCCUCAUCAUCUAUUACGCUGAUACCUUUGCCACUCUCCUCUGCACUCUCCUGUAGCUGCAAAGCAAACUCUAGGUUCCACAGCACAUCUCCCAUUGAUGGCCUCUCAAUGCCCUGAUCAGCCACACAUUUCAUUGCAGUCUCAGCAAACUUUUUGAAGCAUUCAGGUGCAAUCCUCCCCUUCAGAUAGGGGUCAACAAUCUGAUCAAGAAUGCCUUUCUUGUGGCAAUGAGCAGCCCACUCUGCCAAGCUGACUUGCUCCUUUGGCAGUGUCGGGUUCAAGGCUGGUCGAGCACACAGGAUCUCAAACAGCACAACUCCAAAAGAGUAGACAUCUGAUUUAUCAGUUAGUUGCUGCCGCCUAAAAUACUCAGGAUCCAGAUAGCCAAAACUACCCUUCACCACAGUGCUAACAUGGGUGUUAUCCAGCGUAGGACCUGUUUUUGACAAGCCAAAAUCAGAGACCUUUGCAACCCAUUUCUCAUCCAAAAGGAUGUUGGUUGUCUUGACAUCUCUGUGGAUAAUGGUGUGUUUGGCACCAGUGUGGAGAUAGUGUAAACCACGAGCUGCACCAAUGCAUAUCUCAAGCCUUUGCUUCCAAGGCAAUGGAGGCUUUUGGGUUUUGUAUAGAUGCUCACGCAGUGUCCCAUAUGCCAUGUAAUCAUAAACAAGGAUCAUUUCACAGUUCUCCUCACAGUACCCGAUCAACGAAACAAGGUGGCGGUGACGAAGUUUUGAGAGCAUUUCAAUUUCAGUCUGGAACUCAUGCACGCCCUGCUCAGAAAGCGGAUUGCCACGCUUGAUUGCAACUUUUGUAGUUCCACCAUCAACUUCACCCUUGUAGACUUUCCCAAAACCUCCCACUCCAAGGACUAGAGCCUCGUCAAAAUUGUUGGUUGCAGCCUUGAUCUCAGCAAAUGAGAAGUGGCGGCAAAGGUUUGAAGGUAAAGAGGAAGCAUAACUUCCCGUGGUGUUUGUUUUGGCUGAACCAGCAGAGUGAGAAUUUCCAUACAGAGAAAGAGGCAGCCACCCAGAUGGCGCAUCACUUGAACUUGCCUCCUUCCCUUGUCUAUGACGACGAGAGGCAGCAAUAACACAGUAACCAAUGACAAGGGCUAGAACAACCCCACCGCUUACACCACCAGCUAUAAUUGCUUUCUGAUUCUUUGAAUGGCCAGAGCCUGAUGAUGGUCUCACCAAUGAAGGGUCAAUUACUUCCUGUUUAGGAGCAGGGAUUGGAUUGGGCCCAGCAAGAUUACCAUCAGUGCUGCUAAUUUUGAAUAUCUCCACACCAUUUAAAAUUGCAUCAUAAAACUGGGACUUCAAAGCUGAAUCAGUGUUUGGAUGAAGCGCAAGCCACAUAUCCUGCUGAGGGCUCCCAUCAGGAACAAGCACCACAUAAUCCUUAUGCACUGGAACUCCAUUGUGACCUGCCCAGGCAAUCACAUCAGCUCCAUUCUCAGCAGUUUGAUUAUUGAGGAAGAUGUUGAACACUCUUUGAUUAAUUUUGGUUAUAUUUGAAGCAACUUCACAAAAAUGGAGCCGAACCAAAUAACUGAAACCAGAGUCGACGCUGAAAAUCCAAGUCAAAUUGUAAUUCAAAUUGAUGUUAGCGUUUGGCCCCAUUGAUCUAGAGGUAGAAUAGACAUUAAGUGGUGCAACAUAAGGAGGCACGGGGCUUUUAAUUGUCGUGUUUGGAUCAGCAGUCUCUGGAACACCAAAUGCAGCUCCAUAAAGAUAUGGCUGGUCAUCAGACCAAGACCUAAGCAUACCGGUGUCCCCUGAUGGCGAGAUUUCAUUCCCACCCACAUUUAACCGAUAAACAUUCUCAAGUGCAGUACUAUUAUCUAUGGUGAAUGAAGCAUCGUUACCCACUAUCAUUAAAGUUCCAUCAGUAUUACCAUAAAUAUCAGUCAUGGACACUAUCUCAAUCCCAUUGACAAAUGCAUAAGCCUUCGGAGAAUUUGAAGAUGGACCGAAAGUUAUAUUCAAUAUUCCACCAUCCACAUUAAUCGAAUACUCCUUCACAAUGAAGGCAUAAUUCAAAGCUUCCGUUGUUUGAGCUACACUGAAGUUCUUAAGAAGGGUAAAAGACCCAGCUGUGACGGAAAAGAGAGCAUCAGAUGCAUUAAGCCCAGCGUAGGAAGAAGGAUAGAAAUACAGACGGACAAAUUUGCGACCAUCACCCAAGGGGAAACUAUAGGUAAAAGUAGAGCGAAAAACACGAGCAGUCAUGAAAGGGACUUGAGAGACUGCAGGGUCUUGAGUGGCAGCAGGGGAUAUAGAUGAAUUCGCAGACGAUGCCAAAAACUUAGAACCUUUAUCGGCGGUCCAUUUCUGACCAUCGGUAUCGGUGUCAUCCGAAGUUGCUCCACAAUCUAGGAGGAUUUUAUCGGUUGGCAUAUAAUUUUGGGCAAAGGCAACAAAAAUUACGGAGGCCAAACAAAGUAAAACGAGAGCGCAAGCAGGAAACCACCUACCCAUUCUUCCUAUGGACUCCAAUUUGACAAUAGAAACACAAUUAACAAUCUAUACGAAGCUGAAAGUGGAUGAACCCGUUAUCCAAAUCCAAAAAGGUGAAAGAUAUAGAGAAGGCAAAGUCGAAAAAGCAAGAUCUGAGCUGAACCCAGUGACCUCAACCUCAAAUUUUGAGAUAUCAAAAAUUAAAGAGCCCAAAAAAGAACAAGAAACAAGAUCCACAAAAAAAAAUGGCUAUAGAAGCAGAUUACAAGGAGCUAAAGCAAGCAGUAGAUUGCAGGGAAAGCCAAGGAAAGCAACCAUUAGCAGAAAAAGAAAGAGAAUUCAAGCCAAUUUGAGCUGAAGGGAGUGAAAAAGAUAAAAGAACAGAGAAUUCUAACCUUACAGGCGGGGCAGAUAAUCAAACUCAGUGAGUCAAACCAGAGAGAUCGGAGAGGGUUAGAGCUUAGAAGUUUGACAAGCCGGGAGCGAGCAGAAAGAGGCUGAGAUCAGAUGGUGGAGUUGCCCAGUUAUUUUAAGACAGAGAUACUGAUAAGUAGUCAUUUAGCUGUAAAUACAAUUAUUUUUUUUAAAUUGAUAUUGAAUGACGAGAAUGACCUUAGAGGCGCUAACUGAAAUGCUGAGUUGCCAUGUGAUUGGAUGACAGAUGGGUAGGGAAGUGAUUUGCACUUCAAACGCGUUAUUGCCUUAUUGGAGGCGGCGCGACGCGUUUGUCCUUCAUAGGCCCUUGAUGCCUCUGCUUUGAUUGAGUUGUUUGGCAUUCCCAUAUAUGGAUUUUCAAUAGGGUUUGUAGAUGGGAUACUAUGAUAGAUUUGUUAUAGGCAUUGUUAAAUGAUAUCCAUGGAACAUUGGUAAAAAAAAAUAAUUGAAACCUCUAAAAAAAUAAUAAUCUGACCGUCCCGAAAAGUUAUUUUUUUUAUCUUUCUCAAAUUAUAUCUGGGUUUUUAAGUUAAUUUCACAAAUAUUCAUAUUUAAUAUACAUUAAAAUUGAAAUUUAUUAGUUUUAAAAAUGAAAUAAUAUGAGUAAAGUAUAUAUUAAUAAAAGAAAUAUAAAAUUUAUUAUUUAAUUAUAUUUUCAGGAUCCUCAGAAUAUUACCUUAAAAUAUAUCAUCAUAUUUAACUAUGUCUGAAUUUUUUUAACUAUUAGUUGUAUUUGGAAAUUUUUUUUACAGAAAAUUUAGAAAAAAGAAAAAUAUGGGAAUUUUAAAAAAAAAAAUUGAUAAAAGUAAAAAAGAAAGAUUUCUUUUCAUUUGAAAAAUUAAGCAAAUAUUAAAGUUAGUAAGGUGCUAAUGUCUAAACUCUUUAUAUAUAAACAAUGUUAGUUUUAAAUGGAAGAAUGAAGAUGAUAUGGUCAAAGUGAUGAAUUUAAGUACAAGUCAUCUUCGUCCAUUGACAAAGAAAACGCCUGGAAUGCAAUGCAAUAGUAAAUCUUUUGCCAAAAUUAGUUCAACGCCUAUUUCUAAUAAAAAUUUAAUCAUUUUUCUAUAUUGCAUAAAUUAUUGUUUAAUAAUAUUAUUAAGUGCCGACAUAUUAAAGUAAUAUAUUUUUGUAUUUUUCAAAAGAUUGAUUUUUCUAUUAAAAAAAAAAAAAACUUAAGCAAUGCAUAAAAGGAAAUGCUAUCUUUUUUAGAAAAAAAAUUAAAUUUUACAAAUUUUAUUAACACUAUUAUAUUUUUAUACAUAAAUUUUAUUAAUACUCUUUAUUUUUUUAUUGAAUUAUAUUCAAGUUAUUUUUUAUAAAAUAAAGAGAACCUAAAUAUUUAU